GGUGCCCUGCUGAUGUGAACCCUGAGGCAGGAGUCCUGUGUGGUCUGGGGCCAGGAAGAACACAGCAGACCCAUUGCUUCAAAAUGGAGCUCACCAUUCUCUUCAGGGGUUCUCUUUUCUCAUUCUGUGAGAAUUGUCAUUUUAGCAUGCCUUGCCUCAUUUUACUCAUUAGCAAAACAGAGAGAAGACCACUCCCGUUCCUGGUUAUGGAGACUGUAGGCUACCUGUGAUUUUACAAGGGAGGAAAGUAAGUCUCAGAAGAGUCAUAUAAUGAUAGUGGUGGUGAUGAUGAUGAUGAUGAUAGUUGACACUGGUUAAACUUGUACUAUAUACGCCAGUUACUGUGCUAGAUGCCUUACGUAACAUCUCAUUUGAACCUCAUAAAAAUCAUAUGGGUAGGUGCUAUUAUUUGUAUUCUCAUGUUGCAGAUGAGGAAACUGAGACACAGAUGACUACACAGUAUUUUCUGAUUCCACUUCUAGAAAGAAGUUAAGUCAAGAUGGAAAUUCCGUCUGUCUGGGCAAAUUGCUCCUGCUCACAGCUGCUAUAAUCAUAUAGUUUGAUCAUCAUUCACCAAAAAGCUGCUUCUUUUCUUGGCUUUGUGUUUCUAUCACUGAAGAGGACUCCCAUUUAUUCUUUGAGAGUGAAGACUAUGGCUUCAUCAUUUUUCACUGUAUCCUGCACAGAGCCUUGUAUACAGUAGGUGCACAACAAAUGUUUGAUAAAUUGAGACGUUUAGACUCCAGACCCAAAUAUGCUGCUUAAAGUCUUGGAAAACUCUGCCCCAGCAUUCUCUGUCAUUGGCAAUAUGGCUUUUAGAACUAUUUUUUGAUAAUAAAAUAUAAUAAAAUAUAUCAUUUUAAUGAUUGCUAUAUAUUUUUUUUUUUAUUUUAUCUUUUGUAGAAAUGAGGUGUCACUAUAUUGCCCAGGCUGGUAUCAAACUCCUGGCCACAAACAAUCCUCC
rnacentral:lncRNA from 1 species